CGAGCCAGUUCCGCGGGGCUUGCACUUUGAUUACCGUCGCUAACGGCCACCCCUGAGGUUCGUCCCGGGCAAGGGAUUUUUCUGGCCGAAGGGCCUCCUCCCAAUUACGGUCGAUCUGCGGGGAAUCUCGGAUUUGCGCAAGAUUCCCCCCUGCUGCUCCCGUAGGAGUCUGGGCCGUCUCUCAAUCCCAGUGGGAGUGGCCAUCGUCUCGUACCCCCUUUCCGUCGCGCCCUUGGUAGCUGAUGCCCCCACCAACCGUUUGAUAGGCCGCGAGCCCUUCUCGUCACGAACCGAGUUGCCCCCCUCCUUUCCUCCCCCGACAAUGCCCCCGAACUGAAUUAUGCGGUAUUACCCGGAAGUUGUGCCGGCUAUCCCGCACUCCACGGAACGUACCUCACGUGUAACCCACCCGUUCGCCGGUGAGAGCCCGACUGCCCCAACUUCCCCCCUCGAUUUGCAUGUGUUAAGGACACCGCCAGCGUUAUGCC
rnacentral:rRNA from 1 species